CGCGCAUCACUAGAUGAUGGCAUAAUCGUGCGCCGGAUGUGUUGCCAUUCCCCGCACAAGCCGUGAGUGCUGAUGUGUUUCAAGAGUCUGGACGGCACACGGGUUUAAUGCAGUAACGAGCAGAGCGGCAGCGGCGGCUCGGAGGUCGAUGUCCAAGAAGACGGCAGCGGAGGAGAGCAGCAGCAGCACCGGUCCGGAGAGCGAAUGGCGAAGUUCUCUGAUGACUCUGCUAUAGUCGGCCUCAUCACUGAUGGGGACGACAGGGAGUACAGAGAACUGACCCAAGACUCUGAGGACUGGUGCCAGCAGAACUACCUCCAGAUCAACACUAGAAAAACCAAGGAGCUGGUGUUAGACUUCUGCAGGCACAAACAUCCUCCACUGCAACCACUAAACAACAUUCAAGGAAAGGACAGAGCAGGCUGUACCUGCUGCGGAGGCUCAGGUCUUUUGGAGUGAAGGGCCCACUCCUGAAGACCUUCUAUGACUCUGUGGUGGCCUCAGCCAUCUUUUACGGUGUGGUCUGCUGGGGCGGCAGCAUCUCUGCUGGGGACAGGAAGAGACUGGAGGGCCAGCUCUGUUCUAGGAUGCUCUCUGGACCCAGUGGAGGUGCUGAGUGACAGGAGAAUGGUGGCUAAGCUGUCAUUUCUGUUGUGCAACAUCUCCCACCCCAUGUAGGAGACCCUGACAGCACUGUGGCAUUUUAAACUAUUACAUAAAAUUCUAGAAAAAAAAAUCAUAUAUCCUUACCCCAUAAAAACCAAAUACAAUAUUUGAACAGCAAAACUAUUGUAAACAUCGUUUCUGCUUUAAAUGUAUUUAUUCAUUUAUUUAUUUCUUUAGUGCAACUUCUAGAAAUGGCCAGCAGAUGGAACCCCGUGUCCAUGGUUCGCAACUCACUUUCAACUACAGAAAGGAGGUUUGGCACUCUAAGAAUCCAAAUUAGUCGGAGAAUUUAGGAACAGCUAGGCUGGUGGAAGAAUAACUUCCAAAGAGAAAAAUAAAACAUUUGGGGGAAAGUUCAUCCAACUAUUAAAGUCGUGUUUUUUUGUUUUUGUUUUGUUUGUUUUUUUAGCAAAUUUGACACUCACUUGCCACUUUAUUGGUAUAAUAUCUGUUCAACUGCUCAUUAAUGUAACAUCUAAUGACCUAAACAUAGGCCAGCAAAGGCAAAGACAACCUGCUGAAAUUCAAACUGAGUAUCAGUAUGAUGAAAAAAGAUGAUUUAAGUGAGUGAACCUGGCAUAACUAUUGGUGCUGGAGGGGCUGGUUAGAGUAUUUCAGAAACUGCUGAUCUAAUGGGAUUGACAAAGAAUGGCCUGAAAAAGAGAAAAUAUCCAAUGAGCAGCAGUUCUCCGGACAAAAAUGUAGACCACUUGUUAAAGCCAAGGUAUGCAGAAGAGCAUCUGUGGACACACAACAUGUCGAACCUUGAAGAUGUGCUACAGCAGCAGAAGACCACACCGAGUGCCACAGGAAACCAAGGCUGUAGUUCACAUGGACUCACUAACUGAACAACAGAAGAGUGGAAACGAGUCUGAUCUCAGGAGUCUCUAUUUCUGCUGCAAUGGAUGAACCAAUCUGUGUGACACUAUCACAUCAACAUGAACCAAAAUCUCAGAGAAAUGUUUCCAGCACCUUGUUGAAUCUGUGCCAUGAAGAAUUAAAGACGCUCUGAAAGUAAGAGGGUCCAACCCAGUGCUGGUGAAAUGUAUCUAAUAAAGUGGCUGGUGAGUGAAUGUGAUGUUUUUUUAAUAAAAAA